rnacentral:lncRNA from 1 species
UGGGAUUAAGCCUAACUGGGAAGGCUUAGGGGUCGGUCGUUACAGCCUACCCCCCCUUAAAAGAAUCUCGUCCCGAGAUUCAGAGAUAAAAAGGGUGUGCUGUUCUUACCUCCUUGAUGGGACAGGAAACCUGGGAAACGCUUGUUCAGAUACUCUUCCGUUUCCCAUGUUGCUUCAUCUUCGGUGUGGUUUCUCCAAAGGAUCUUGUAC